AUUGAACGCUGGCGGCAUGCUUUACACAUGCAAGUCGAACGGCAGCGCGGGCUUCGGCCUGGCGGCGAGUGGCGAACGGGUGAGUAAUAUAUCGGAACGUACCCAAGAGUGGGGGAUAACGUAGCGAAAGUUACGCUAAUACCGCAUACGAUCUAAGGAUGAAAGCAGGGGACCGCAAGGCCUUGUGCUCCUGGAGCGGCCGAUAUCUGAUUAGCUAGUUGGUGAGGUAAAGGCUCACCAAGGCAACGAUCAGUAGCUGGUCUGAGAGGACGACCAGCCACACUGGAACUGAGACACGGUCCAGACUCCUACGGGAGGCAGAAGUGGGGAAUUUUGGACAAUGGGGGGCAACCCUGAUCCAGCAAUGCCGCGUGAGUGAAGAAGGCCUUCGGGUUGUAAAGCUCUUUUGUCAGGGAAGAAAAGGCUGUGGCUAAUAUCCACAGCUGCUGACGGUACCUGAAGAAUAAGCACCGACUAACUACGUGCCAGCCGCCGCCGUAAUAC
rnacentral:rRNA from 1 species